UGGGGAUAGCUCAGCUGGCAGAGCAUGAGACUCUUAAUCUCAGGGCUGUGGGUUUGAGCCCCACAGUGGGCAAAA
rnacentral:tRNA from 1 species